UCCUCCCAAGCAUCCUGCGCCUACUGGCAGGGCUACUGGGCAUGCAGUAACUGAGGGACAGCCCGCCCAGGAGAAGAACGAAGAGCAGAGACAGAGAGCCUGGAAAAGGAAGUACAAAGGACCAAGAUUGCUGCAAAGUCGCCACUCCCGAGUUCCUCCAGAUAGCUGCAGACACACGUCGUUAACAAGAACACUUCAAAUCUCUUAGUCAUUUUCAAAUUUCCCAUUUUGGCUACACUUCACAUGCAGCACAUUAUAUGGAAGUACACGGCAGUUCCCCCCUUAUCUGCAAAGGACAUGUUCAGAGAUCUCCAGUGGAUGACUGAAACCAUGGAGAGUACUAAAUCCUAUAUAUACAGUGUUUUUUUCCCUAUACAUAUAUAUGAUAAAGUUUAUACAUUAGGCACGGUAAGAGAUUAACAACUCAUAAUAAAAUAUGAGUUAAACUCAUAUGCAAUAUAAUAUAUGCAAUAAAAUUGAAAUACGGUCAAACUCUG